rnacentral:rRNA from 1 species
GACGAACGCUGGCGGCGUGCUUAACACAUGCAAGUCGAACGGAAAGGCCCUGCUUUUGUGGGGUGCUCGAGUGGCGAACGGGUGAGUAACACGUGAGUAACCUGCCCUUGACUUUGGGAUAACUUCAGGAAACUGGGGCUAAUACCGGAUAGGAGCUCCUGCUGCAUGGUGGGGGUUGGAAAGUUUCGGCGGUUGGGGAUGGACUCGCGGCUUAUCAGCUUGUUGGUGGGGUAGUGGCUUACCAAGGCUUUGACGGGUAGCCGGCCUGAGAGGGUGAACGGCCACAUUGGGACUGAGGGAGGGCCCAGACUCGUACGGGCGGCAGCAGGGGGGAAUAUUGCACAAUGGGCGGAAGCGUGAGGCAGCAACGCCGCGUGCGGGAUGACGUCCUUCGGGUUGUAAACCGAUUUCGCCGGUGACGAAGCGUGAGUGACGGUAAUUGGUAAAGAAGCACCGGCUAACUACGUG